rnacentral:ncRNA from 1 species
UCCGAUAAGGGUAAACCGUGGGUAACUGCGGGACACAAAGCUGCGGGUCCUCCUGCUGAGGAUAGCCGGGCCGCCGAAG